rnacentral:rRNA from 1 species
AGUGAACGCUGGCGGUAGGCCUAACACAUGCAAGUCGAACGGCAGCACAGUAAGAGCUUGCUCUUACGGGUGGCGAGUGGCGGACGGGUGAGGAAUACAUCGGAAUCUACUUUUUCGUGGGGGAUAACGUAGGGAAACUUACGCUAAUACCGCGUACGACCUACGGGUGAAAGCAGGGGAUCUUCGGACCUUGCGCGAUUGAAUGAGCCGAUGUCGGAUUAGCUAGUUGGCGGGGUAAAGGCCCGCCAAGGCGACGAUCCGUAGCUGGUCUGAGAGGAUGAUCAGCCACACUGGAACUGAGACACGGUCCAGACUCCUACGGGAGGCAGCAGUGGGGAAUAUUGGACAAUGGGCGCAAGCCUGAUCCAGCCAUACCGCGUGGGUGAAGAAGGCCUUCGGGUUGUAAAGCCCUUUUGUUGGGAAAGAAAAGCAGCAGGUUAAUACCCCGCUGUUCUGACGGUACCCAAAGAAUAAGCACCGGCGAACUUCGU